AGUUUGAUCCUGGCUCAGGAUGAACGCUGGCGGCGUGCUUAACACAUGCAAGUCGAACGAAGCGGCUGCAGGGAUUCCCUUCGGGGAGGAACAGUAGCUGUCUGAGUGGCGGACGGGUGAGUAACGCGUGGGCAACCUGCCCCAUACCGGGGGAUAACAGCCGGAAACGGCUGCUAAUACCGCAUACGCCCAGGAGGCUGCAUAGCUUCCUGGGGAAAACUCCGGUGGUAUGGGAUGGGCCCGCGUCUGAUUAGCUCGUUGGCGGGGUAACGGCCCACCAAGGCGACGAUCAGUAGCCGGCCUGAGAGGGCGGCCGGCCACAUUGGGACUGAGACACGGCCCAGACUCCUGCGGGAGGCAGCAGUGGGGAAUAUUGCACAAUGGGGGAAACCCUGAUGCAGCGACGCCGCGUGAGCGAUGAAGUAUCUCGGUAUGUAAAGCUCUAUCAGCAGGGAAGAAAGUGACAGUACCUGACUAAGAAGCCCCGGCUAACUACGUG
rnacentral:rRNA from 1 species